rnacentral:rRNA from 1 species
UACGUAGGGAGCGAGCGUUAUCCGGAUUUAUUGGGCGUAAAGCGUGUGUAGGCGGUUAAUUAAGUCUAAAAUCAAAGCCUGGGGCUCAACCUCAGUUCGUUUUAGAAACUGGUUAGCUUGAGUAUAGUAGAGGCAAGUGGAAUUUCUAGUGUAGCGGUAAAAUGUGUAGAUAUUAGAAGGAACAUCAGUGGCGAAGGCGACUUGCUGGGCUAUUACUGACGCUGAGGCACGAAAGCGUGGGGAGCAAAUAGGAUUAGAUACCC